CCUACGGGAGGCAGCAGUAGGGAAUCUUCCGCAAUGGACGAAAGUCUGACGGAGCAACGCCGCGUGAGUGAAGAAGGUUUUCGGAUCGUAAAACUCUGUUGUCAGGGAAGAACAAGUACGGGAGUAACUGCCCGUACCUUGACGGUACCUGGCCAGAAAGCCACGGCUAACUACGUGCCAGCAGCCGCGGUAAUACGUAGGUGGCAAGCGUUGUCCGGAAUUAUUGGGCGUAAAGCGCGCGCAGGCGGCCUUUUAAAGUCUGAUGUGAAAGCCCCCGGCUCAACCGGGGAGGGUCAUUGGAAACUGGAAGGCUUGAGUGCAGAAGAGAAGAGCGGAAUUCCACGUGUAGCGGUGAAAUGCGUAGAGAUGUGGAGGAACACCAGUGGCGAAGGCGGCUCUUUGGUCUGUAACUGACGCUGAGGCGCGAAAGCGUGGGGAGCAAACAGGAUUAGAUACCCUGGUAGUCCACGCCGUAAACGAUGAGUGCUAAGUGUUGGGGGGUUUACGCCCGUCAGUGCUGCNGCUACGCAUAGCACUCCGCCGNGGGAGGUACGGCCGCGAGCGAGAACGACGAAGAAGUUAGACGGCGUGAGACGUGCCGACGGACGACGACGAGGGAGGAGG
rnacentral:rRNA from 1 species